CGUUCGCCGGUCCCGGCGGACGUCUACCCCGGUACCUGACACGGCCGGAGAGA
rfam:Nocardioides sp. Soil805 contig_2, whole genome shotgun sequence.